rnacentral:lncRNA from 1 species
UUAUUAAUACGAUUUAAACGUUGUCUAUCGUACAAUUUCUUUUUUCAUAUAUAUAUAAAAAUAAUAAAUAAAAAUAAUUAAAGUUGCAUUUUGAGGAAAAAAGGUAAUAAGUAAAAUUCCACGAAAUUGCAGACACAUAAUUUUCAAGAGCUUCCCUUUAUGACCUCGAUGGAUCUUCCUUGAGGUUGGUCGUCUUUCGAGGACGACACUGAAAAUAUAAUACCAACGACAACCAGUCUAACACGGAUCCUUUGUGGUCGUAGUGGGAUCGUAUUUCCCCGGUAUAACAUUUAACCACUAGUCUUUUGGAUAGAAUGUCGAUAGACAGAACAUGGAUCAAAUGACGACAAUUUUGUUAGUUAAAUUAAUCGAAGAGAAUAUAUAUACAUAACGUCUUGAAAGAAUUAAAUCUUCUCUCAAUUGAUUAACGAGAGAUGAAAUAUCAUAAUAAUAUGGAACAUUGGAACAUAUAGAGGAUAGAAGAUUAUAAUAGAAGAAAUUUUCCAGAGAGCCUCUACUAUUUGUAUCGUUGAAUUAAAAUUACAUAGUUAAGUGUAUUUAUUUAGGUCGUAUUAGACCGACAUCGUCAGUGGUUUAAACUUAAUUAUGGUUGGUCUGGUAUUAUAUCUAGUAAUAUUGAUAUAUAACGUAAUGACAUAACUCUGGAAUUAACUCUGGAAAUUACUCACGAGAGGGCAACUAACAAGUGACACUCCUGAGGGCAAUACUUCAAGGUAAAAUGCCAAUACAACAAUUUUUAUUCCUCGACGGUAUAUAAUAAUUUCAGACACAAUUACAAAUCAGCUUAAUCAUUAUACUUAAAAAGUGAUUUCAACGUCGAAGGAAAAUUCACACAAAUAAUACCCUAAAAGAAAAUAGUUGGAUAUAGACGGAGGAAAUUUUUUUCAAGAUUUUCUUAACGGGCGAAAAAAUUUAAACUAAACCCACAGCCACACGUAGCUGCAUGUUAAACGUCAAAGAGACCGCUUGUUAUUCGUGGCGAAAAAAAUUCUACGACUUUAAUUAACGUCCCGACUUUUUGUCGUAGCGAACGGCAGCCGUCCUCGAAACGCUGCGCGUCUGGUCCUCUAAUUUUUCGUUUUAAUUCACAUCUAAUGGCAUCUUCUCCACGCUCUCCAAUCCCAGCAAGUCGAGAGAGUGUGUCGUUGGCACUAUUUAUGCAACCAACGGGAACCUUUCUACUCUACCACUCGGGAGUCGGGUACAGCUCGCAGCCGGCUACAAAGUUGAGUAUUCGAGAAACCACGUUUCGAAGUCAUCCUCGAGGACUUUUUUCAACAGAGGGAAGAGCAUAAGAUGUCAUUGGACGUGAUUUCGGGCGAAUACCACUCACGAGGUUUUCAUACUUAUUUUUUUCAUCGAAGAAAUACACGUUGUUCGAAGAUGAAGGAUUUACAGUGACGACAAUAUGGAAAAAAAAAGUAGACGCGAUGAUAAUUCAUUUUAGAAAUAUAAUAGAAGUAAGUUGUAUUAUAUAAUAUAUAAUCAGGAAUUAGCAAAAUUCCAUAUCACUUCAUAUUAUAAGGUAUCUUACGUAAUUUAAACAUCUUAAAUAUUUUUAUUCUUUAUGAUAAAAAAAAUUAUAGAGAAAAUUAUUAUUUGG